AAAGCCAGUUCAUGCUUUUAUAGUAUGAAAAUUGGUGAUUUAUAAUAACUUAGCAAAUCGCAAAGUGAAAACAGGCGAUAAAUCAUUCAAGUUUCUGACCUAUCAGCUUUCGACGGUAUGGUAUUGGCUUACCGUGGCAGUGACGGUUAACGGGGGAUUAGGGUUCGAUUCCGGAGAGGGAGCCUGAGAAACGGCUACCACAUCUAAGGAAGGCAGCAGGCGCGCAAAUUACCCAAUUCUAACAGUUUGAGAGAGGUAGUAACAAGAAAUAACAAUACAAGGCAGUUAAAAUGCUUUGUAAUUGGAAUGAUAGAAAUUUAAACCCUUUUUAAAGUAUCAAUUGGAGGGCAAGUCUGGUGCCAGCAGCCGCGGUAAUUCCAGCUCCAAUAGCGUAUAUUAAAAUUGUUGCAGUUAAAAAGCUCGUAGUUGAAGUUCUGCUGAAAGUAACCGGUCUGCUUUUAAUAAAAGUGGUAUCUUGGUAUGUAUUUAGCAAUGAUGUCCUUUGAAGUGUUUUUUACUUUAUUGUAAUAAAGCAUAUUCAGGACUUUUACUUUGAGAAAAUUAGAGUGUUUCUAGCAGGCUAACGCUUUGAAUACUGCAGCAUGAAAUAAUAA
rnacentral:rRNA from 1 species